UACGGGGGGAGCAAGCGUUGUUCGGAUUUACUGGGCGUAAAGGGCGCGUAGGCGGUCGUGACAAGUCACUUGUGAAAUCUCCGGGCUUAACUCGGAACGGUCAAGUGAUACUGUCGGACUAGAGUACAGAAGGGGCAACUGGAAUUCUCGGUGUAGCGGUGAAAUGCGUAGAUAUCGAGAGGAACACCUGCGGCGAAGGCGGGUUGCUGGGCUGACACUGACCGCUGGAUGCGCGAAAGCUAGGGGAGCGAACGGG
rnacentral:rRNA from 1 species